AUCCGUGUAGUCUAGCGGUUAGGAUGUGGCGCUUUCACCGCCAAUACCCGGGUUCAAAUCCCGGCACGGAUA
rnacentral:tRNA from 1 species